rnacentral:rRNA from 1 species
UACGUAGGGUGCGAGCGUUGUCCGGAAUUAUUGGGCGUAAAGGGCUCGUAGGCGGUCUGUUGCGUCGGGAGUGAAAACUCAGGGCUUAACCCUGAGCCUGCUUCCGAUACGGGCAGACUGGGAGGUAUGCAGGGGAGAACGGAAUUCCUGGUGUAAGCGGUGAAAUGCGCAGAUAUCAGGAGGAACACCGGUGGCGAAGGCGGUUCUCUGGGCAUUACCUGACGCUGAGGAGCGAAAGCCAGGGGAGGCAAACGGGA